UAAAUGACCUGAAAAGCAAAGUUUAGUGUGAUUUAAUGUCAGACAGACAGUAAAAAUAAAGUUCAGGUUUCAGCUGUGUGGUUCAGUAAAUAUUGACACAAGGAGAAUCUUGUUUUAAUCCUACAAACAAAGGACAAAAUAUAAUUUACUAAAACAAACAAACCUGCUUUUCCUCUUUGUCACAGGAAGGAAUAUUGGUCUUGGUGUUGGAAUACCAGUCAUCAUCAUCAUCAUCAUCAUCAUCAUCGCUGGUCUCUGUUAUUGGCAAAGUGAACGAAAAGAAAUGGCAAUUCAGGAGAUGAAGAUGAAGGAAUACCUUUACUUAACCAUUGACAAGCAAACCAAAGUGGAUGAAUCCUCCCCCCUGAGCUGAAGUCUCUUCAACCUCUUGUAUGUCUUGGUAUGAAUUCUGGUACAUGUAUAGAACUAUGGACCAUGAUAAAAAAAAAAUUGCAUGCCUUAAACCCAACAGGAAGUCCUUCAUAUUAGAUCAAAGAGACCAUUUUGGGGCCAUUUUGAGAUUUUUUUUUAAAAAUGAUGUAAGAAUCAUGUAUGUUAAAAAAGAACAUCUCAUACCCAUAGCUGUUACUGUAGUUUAGUGUCCCUUAUCAGCUUUUGAUAUCUGAUUUGUCUUGAAAAGUAUUUUUAAUUCAUGCAAAAGUUGACAGACUUGAUGUCCAGCUUGUGCCAACAAAAGGUUUUUAAUUUAAUUUCUGUCAGUGAAUCUUAUUUUAACGUUCACACUCUUCUUACAUGAAUAGCCAAAGAUUAGUGUGUUUCAUUAUGAUUUUAUACACUUACUGUCUAGUUUUUCAGUUUAUGGAUCAGCAAUGAAUUCACUAGUUCACCCUUUCUUCCAUGUCCAGACCCCUGUAGAUAUGUAUAUUUACUAAACAUUUUGGGACCUGAAUUAAAAGGUGUUUGUUAGAACUAAUAGUUAUUAGUGAAAAGCCAUAUUUAUAGUAAGAUUCAUGUUUUGUUCAUUUGUUGACUUUUGUAAAUGGUAUAUAUGAUAUCUAACAGAAUCUGAUAUUUUAAGCAUUUUUAUUUUGUCUGGUGAUCAUUUACUGUACAAGUCAAAGUAAAACUGGAGGGCGCCAUCUAGUGGUUAAGUUAGAAUGUUACUCUGAUAAAUCACAAGUCUUUGUUGGGGAUGUUGAUCCCACAUUUAAUGGAAAAUGUGAAACUUUACUGUCCUCAGAACUACUAGAGAUCUGUUUAUCAUCUAGUUGGAAAAGCUGUUCAUUUUAUCCUUGAUACUAUUAAACUGCUGUUGUGCAAUACAAAUAAACUUGAUUCAUCAUUUCAUGAUUAUUACUAGGCUGAGAUUGGCUGCUAUGUUUGAGCUAAAAUCUGACAUCUAGAGACAAAUAAACAAAUAAACACAAAGACUGGAUGCUGGUCAAGGUGAUUAGUGGGAUUUUUAGAUACAAUCACGGGAGAUUUGGGCCUUCUUCAGAUUACUUAAACUAAUUCUUCAUAUUUUAAGUACUAAUGAGUUUGUAUAGAGAUACGAAACAGACUGUGAGACGGUGAUUGAGCAAACUAACAGGUUUGUCACAUUACUAGUAAACAUGCUCCUCUAAACCAAAUAAUUUUUUUUUAUUGUUUUCCAUUCUUUGUUUUUGUGUGUUGUAUCAAUAAAUAUUUUUUGAUGUUUAAUGUGAACUGAUGUUUUGAUUCUUAAAAAUAAAAACCCUUUAAAACAUU